CAUGUUCUCAGUGACCUUCCUCCUCCUUGGAAUGCCUUUCACCCUAAGAGGAAGUGGAGCCCAGUCAGUGGCCCAGCCUGACCGUCACGUCACUGUCUCUGAAGGAGCCCCCGUGCUGCUGAGGUGCAACUAUACCUAUGGUGCAACACCUUCUCUCUUCUGGUACUUCCAGCCACCUGGCCAAGGCCUCCAGCUUCUCCUCAAGUACAUGGCAGGGCCAUCCCUGGUUACAGGAAUCAGAGAUUUCAAAGCUGAGUUUAAGAAGAGUGAAACCUCCUUUCACCUGGAGAAAGCCUCAGCCCAGGGGAAUGAUGCAGCCAUGUACUUCUGUGCUGUGAGUGGCACAGUGCCUGAGACUGCAGGGGGAGCCUAA